rnacentral:lncRNA from 1 species
CUUACUGAACAUAUUUAUAGCUAACUUUGUUACUACUCAGUUAAGCACCGUGUUUUCAAAAUAAGUUUUGUGGUCUGAGCUAACACUUUAGCUUUGUGCUUAAAUUAGAACUACAAAUAAAUGUAAGCUUUAAUGUAAUCGUUCUAGAAGUUCAAAUUUUGGGUUUUUAUUAUUAAAUUAAAUAGCCCUGCUGUGAACUUUAGAUACUGCCAAUAUGUCUGAAUUUUUAAUUGUUUUGUAAGUUAACUUUUCAUUAAACUGGCGUACAGUUCUAAUGCUGAGCUGGUGAAAUAUUAUAUGCCAUGUGUUUAAGUGAUGGUUUCAAUACUUUUGUCUUUUUUUAAAUAUUGGGAAGCAUAACCAGGAAUAUUGUCAAACCUGUUUUUUUUAAUGUGCUCAUCUGUUCAUUUUUUGCCACUUAAUAUGGUGGACAGCAAAUAAGCAGCUUCAACUUGAACUUCCCCCUGAGGGACACAGAUUGCUCCGGAAGCCUAUGGAUUUCCCACUGAAAACAUUUUAAUUUAAUGUUUGGUUAAGACAAUACUUUCAUACAGAACUUAUUAAACUGUAAAACAACUCUUACAAAUUCUUGCAGUUGGCCUUUUUAAUGCUUGACAUUCAGUGCCUUGCGCUACAUCGGCACCAAAAACCAUUUCUCAGGAUUUUGUAGUCUAGAGGUGGCAUUUUAUUUUGGACCGUGUGUGUGUUACUCCUGAUAAAGUGUUUUGAAGUUUUGCCUGAAUUAGAAAACCAUAUUUAAAAAAAAAAAAAAGAAAUCUGGUUUUUGAUAGAGGACACAUUCCUUGCAGACCUAAGAGUUGUACUUAAGUACACUAGUACUUGGAGACAUGUGUACCCCUGUCCUGCUGUACUUGUUAGGAUUAUGAUGCUUUGUUGUAAGUUUCCAGUGCUCUGUGUGUUUGUGUCCUUUUAGUGGCAGGAGCUUGCAAGUGUUGCCUGUUGAGCCUUGUCACUCCUUACUGGAGAAGGACAUGGGGGCAUCCAGGAAGUGUACAAGUGAAGCCCGAGAUGACAUGAAGCUCCAGAACCAAUCUAAGGGGAUCAGGCUAAAUGAAUACAUGGACCCCCACGGUUAACAUAGCUGGAUCAGUAUUUACUUUUCUCCUUUCAGGUAAGAAGUUAUUAGAAAUAGGGUAGAAAACCCACAUGGCCAGAUUUCUUCCUCCCUCUUUGAUUGCAGGUCAAAUUACAUUCUUUGUAAACAGUUAAUUUUAUAUUUAAG